AUCUUAUCAAGAGAAGCUGAGGGAACUGGCCCGAAGAAGCUUCAGCAACCUCUGUUUACUCAGAAAGGUGCUAAAUCCAGCGAGUGUAUCUUGGUAGAUAAGAG
rfam:Virgibacillus massiliensis genome assembly, contig: 000002